UCCAGUCAAUUCCUGCUACCCAAGCCAUGAAGAAUCUCUAUGAGGAUUUAUAAUUAUAGAGUAGUAUAAUUAGCGUAAUACUUACAAAUUCAUCGAGUAGUAUCAUGUGCACGACUGUUUUGUUGUUAUCAGCGUAGUUCUCUCUCCAUAGUGUCAUGAUUCUUGUGCAUAUUUUCGAUCGGAAUUCGGUGAUUCCUGUGUCGCAGAUGACAAUAAGUUUCUUUUUUUUUUUAAAUCAAUAAAACCAUAUUCCCACCUGGAUGGGUAGCUAACACUGACUACUGCAACUGGUAUGCUACUAUGCUAUCGACUGCUACUAUAUAAGUUAUAACAUGUUAAUGUAUUUAUCAUAAAACAAAUCUGUAGAUUAAUUCAACCAAAUAAAAAUCACUACAUUGUUGGCCUAACCAAAACAGUCUGCUGAAGUUGUCUAAUUAUGACGGGAAAAAAUACACAACUCAGUGAAUGACAGUGGAAUUCAGAUUUUAUAUAUAAUGUUUAAAACAAAACACAACUAAUAUUUGGCAUUCUAAAUUGUAUAAUCAAUAUCUAAAUUGUAUAGUAAAAUAUUUUUAAGUGAAUUCGAUUCACUUGACUAACCAAAACAGUCAUACCCAGAUCCUUAAAACUACCGGUAUGACUAAUCCCGCAUUGUUUGACCCACAGAUCAUUCAUACCUAAUAACCUGAUGUGUUUCUAUACUGGUUAUGCUACAACCAUACAGAGGAUUAAGGAUACAUGACUUUUAAAUAAAACAAUUGACUUUCAGUUAGGCAGGCUACCAUCUUCAUAACUGACAUUAUUCAGGUUAAUGCUUAACAGAACUUUGCUCAAAGUAUGCACAACAGACGGAACUAAACACUUCUAUUAAAAAUUUAUUCAGUUAAUUUACUGCUGGGUAGGUUAAAGUAUGUGAAUUUAUGAAUCUAAAGAACCAAAUAGGUCUCUUGAACUUACUUUCUACAUAUUUCUUAUUAAAUAAAACAUCUGAAUCUUCAUGUAAAACUAUAAAUGAGCUCAUUUUUGCACUAUAGUGUCAAAGGAGAAUUCAAUUCUCCAAAAAUACAAUAGAUUCAACAAAAUCCAAAUCACAGACCUCUGAGAGAUAGCCAUCACUGUCAGAGCUCUCUCCCAUUGAUUCACUGUCAUCUUCGCUAAAUAUUGUAUCAAGAGAAGUGUCUCCAAUAGCUACAUCUUCAGAGUUUCUAGACAUGCCAAAACAAAAAAGUUAAGUAACCACUUCAUUGAAGAUUGAAUCUUAUUAUCAUUGUACUUCCACCAAGUACUAAAACUAAUUCACCAAAAAAUAAAGUCAAAUUUAGCAUUUCCAAAAAGAGUUGAGGCUUGGAAAGCGAAGUCAAUGGAGUUAUAUACCAGAAGCUUAUAGAAGGUAACCUCUUUUUGAAUAUAGCCUGGUGGAACUUGCUGUCCAGGCAUCUAUAAAUGGAUAAGAAGGCUGGAGUAUAUAGACUCCAUCCUUAUAUUAAAUGCUUUUAAUAUGUAUUCUAGAGUUUAAUUCAAGUAACAAUGUAGCAAACGGAAGUCGUACGCCAAAAAAAAAACACUUUUCAUGAGAAUUUCUUCAGGUUAGCGCUAUACCUUCUAGUAGAAGGGACUGUGGCAGCUUCAAUUUGAUCUUCAGUAGCAUCCCCUUUACCUCCUAUAGUAGGAUAAUGAAAAUUAGUUCACAUAGUUGCCAAAAUAUGACAGA
rnacentral:lncRNA from 1 species